GUAUGUCUUUAUGGCGCCUUUUAAUUGAACUGCAUAUGUGUGUGUGUGUGUGUGAGUGUGUGUGUCAAGCCAAGCUCUCUCUUUUGCCAACUCUCACGUUCUCUUUCCCCAUGUAAAUUGGCGCUCCUGUUCGCGUGGCAAUGAACGAUCGUAUUUCAUAUAUAGUUGUUGUUGUUGUAUUUCAACACGUGUAGAUUGAUAUCGUCUGAUAACUAAGCUCUCUCAAUGGCUCUCAAAGAGGCUCUCUUAGACUCUCAUAUAGCAUACACAGAAAAACACAAUAGGGGCAGUUAAAUAAAUUAUUUAUUAAAAAAAAGAGAUGUAUUUUGUAAAGAUUACUAAUAUUAUAAUUAUUAAUAAUAAUUGAAAUUAUUAAAUAAGAAAUAAAUAAUUUUUCUCUGUGUAUCACUAAUUACACACCCAUACAGUUGCACUCUCCUGACUGAUACACUAACACACACUCAGAUUACACCGCAGACCGCAAUACAUUUGUAUGACAUAAUAUUAAUUUUUGUCGUCGACGCCGACGCCAACGCUGACGUUAACGGUGGCGGCGGCGCGACGGCUCCCCCAUUUCAUUUCAAGCCGCAGUCUACCCUUCUGGACGUAUCUCCUCCCAUUCCACCCCAUAACGAGCUCGGAUUCGGAUUCACAAUGGGGAUCCCAGGGCGUGGAAGUUAUUGCAAAUUGACGUAACGGUAUUGCAAAUUGAGGAAGAGCGAAGGGGAGGUGGGACUGGAUUUUAAUAAACAGAAGUCGGAGCAAGCCGGCACAUAAUAUGUUUAUAUUUUCCCAGAAGGGAAGGGGGAAAAUUGCUGUGGUCAGCACCUGUGUUACUAAAAUAAAAAUAUGUAUCUUUGAGAUUGUUUUUACCUCAAUCGGAAUUGUUAAAAAAUUAUUAUAAAAUAUUGAAUAUAUUAAUAAAUAGAAAUAUUCUUCCAA